rnacentral:lncRNA from 1 species
CUUUCAUUGCCACUGAAAGCUCAUCCCGACAGACAUAGGGACGAGGCCAGAGGUACACGAGACAGAGAGGUCCUGCCAGGCCUUGCAGCGCUUGCUAGACACUGUUUUCUUGGCCCGAACCCUGGACAAGAUGGGAAGCAGCUGUCUCUUCUUUGCCAUUUGGCUUUGACCUCACUCCGGCUCCCACACAUUCUUGAAGAGGUGGUGCUCAUCCAGGCAGGGCAGAGAUGAUGCCUUCCGAGUCAGGAAGCUGGACCUGGGGCCCAGACAGCGAAGAGCCCCCCUCCCGAUAGCGCCAGGGUUUGCACUGGCUGCUUCACUCAGCUCCUCGUGAUGUCUUCCUCAGCCUUGCCAUCCAUAAAUGUUAACCUUGAACAGCAUCUAUCACAAAGAACUUCAAACACAUGGAAAAGUAUGAAGAGCAGCACCCUGAAAGCCCGGAUCACUCCACUAUCCAAGACUGCUGCUAACAUUUGCUUCUUUUUU